rnacentral:misc_RNA from 1 species
UCUCCGUUGGUGAACCAGCGGAGGGAUCAUUACAGGACUCGCAAGACUCCUACAACCCUGUGAACUUAACUAUAAGCACGUUGCUUCGGCGGGUGUCUCGGAGGGGGUUCUCCCUCCCCGAGACGCUAAACCCGCCGGCAGCCUACUAUACUCUGUCUCUUUGCGUUGGCAUCUCGAGUACAAUCAAACAAGUUAAAACUUUCAACAACGGAUCUCUUGGUUUUG